AUGCUUGAAGAAUUCUGUCAGAACUUUGAAGAGGAGACCAGUCGAGUGGAGCCAGGCUUGGACCCUGCUAACUCUCUUGUGAAGGACGAGGCUGCAGUGAACGUGCUCCGUCUGGAGUCUCGUAUUGCCAGCGUGGUUGACUAUCUGGCUCGACUGAAAGUUGCGAUGUCGCGGAUCGACACAUCGCUCUGGCCUGGGACGACGCUUCAGAACGACCUCGAGUCUCUGAUGGUUCGACUGAAUGAAGUCCCGGGUCGAGUGGCGGAAUGGAAGAAAUCUUCCGCUAGAUGUGGUGCUGAUGUCGCUCUGUCUCUGGUCCGCGUCCAUUGCAAGGAGGCGCGAGAGGAAAAGCUGGCCGCCAUCCAAGUUGCCAAUACCAGGAAGCACAACUUUCAAGACUUCAUGGAAACUUUCAUCGCCGCUGCCACUCGUAUUGCAGACGGGAUCGACUUGGACGAGUUCGUCGCCCUUCCAGUCCUCCUCCUGAGGAAUGAAAAACUUUUAUGCUUCACUUUUUAA
rnacentral:rRNA from 1 species